rnacentral:sRNA from 1 species
GGAUUUGUAAUUGUAUGUAUCUGUUGGAAAACAUAUAUUAAGUUAACGGAGUAACCGAUAUAUAUUCUGAAUUGGUCAUGUUUACCCUCCGUAGUGGAAUAAGCAAUAAAGAUGUCUCCAUCGGUUGGUACUCGGAACUUCUCUGCAUCAUCCUCUUCUUCGUCAUUGUCUGGUUGAACCAUCGUUUCUUGGUAAGCUUCACCUCGACAACUUUGAAUAAAAAAAGCCUUUGGUUUGCCUACCAAGAAAAACUGAUUAAGUAUACAGAUAUCUUUUGUUAUUUAAUAAUUUCAAUCUUUAAUUUUUUACAAAUUAUUUGUAGUAAAUAGCACAAUGUAGACACUAUAUGAAUGUUAUUGUUAAUUUGAUAGCAGAAGAAUUGAUCUCUUUCAGUAUGUUGGUUUCAAUCUUACCUGUGAAAGCAGGAAUUUUGUUAUUUUUGAAGUGUUCUAAAAUGUCAUCUACACUUAUUGUUCUCUUUUUGCCCUUGUCGACUGUUCUGAUCCCAAACUGAAUAAAGCAAGACAAACCAAAUAGCUGAAUUCAUUGCAGCUGAACAAAAUUUUUGUUGACAAUACUUUGUUCUAUAUGUUUCAUGAUAUAAAAAAAAAAGUUAGAGCUAUAGCCAAAUUCAAUGUAAAUAAGAAUAAAAUGCAUCCUUUAAAUUUUUUAUAUACAUAUUUAUGUCCCGCUUGUUAUGAUGUUAUUAUUUUCUAUAUUUUAAUAAUAAAUAUAUUUUUCAU